GGGGCCUGUUGCUUGGUGAUAUUCCUGCCUGGCUACAGCCCCUGGUCCCCUAAGAGCAUGAAUGGGAAACUGCAGAGGCAGAUUCAGGAAUUACCGGUAUGCUACAAAACCCUGCUGUCCACUGGCCACACGUGUCCCUUGGACAUGAAAUAGAGCCAGAAUGAGCGGAGAUGGGCUCAUAGGUAACUGAGGCGACAAGCGAGGCUCCUGUUAGAAUUCGAUGGGACGGUGCUGCUGCAGAGGGGCUGGGUCUCACCCAGACGCCGUGACCGCCGUGUGCCAGCUGGAGACCGAGAAGCGAGGAGGGAGAGUGUGCUGUACUGGGAAGGACUGUCUAGGAAAAGAUGGACCCUCAUGGGGUCAAGGGUCAGGCCUACAAGUUUGGGCAAGGACCCAAGCAAGAGCUGUCAGGGCACGACACUCAGUGUGCUGUGAACAUGUGUUUCCCCGUGUGUGUGUGUGUGUGUGUGUGUGUGUGUGUGUGUGCGCGCGUGUGCGCGAGUGCACGCGCGUGUAAGCGCACCAGUCAUGUAGGAAAUAUGUGUACAGUGUAGAGUGUAUGUGUGGACAGAUGGUAUAUGUAUAGUUAGGAAUGUAUAUCUGAGGCAUGGAAAAAUCAAAUGGAUGAUGGCUACGCCUGUAGGGUAGAGUGGGUCUGUGCAGGCCGUGGAGCACGGGGAUCUUGUGUGUGAGCACAAGUGGGUAUGUGCCUGUCCACAAUGAGACAGACAUGGGUUGUGAGGCGGAAGGUGUGUGCGAAGCUCUGAGGCACAGGUGGAGUCAGAGAUGUGCACGGGGCGUGAGGGGCGGUGUGGGAAGCUACGGAGCAUGAACUAAGUGUGGAGAGAGUGUGAACACAUGCCUGCUCUCACAUGCUGGCUGCAUGGUCAGUGGACAUAGGCCAUUCUGGGCUAGAGGAAGCAAGGUGGGUCCCUGGCUGAUUCCUUGGAGCUAUUAGCCCUGUCUGGGCCAACAAGAAAACAGUGUGUGAAAACCCAGUGUGGUGGGGAUGGAAAGUUCUUGUAACUGGGUAUGACUCAGCGUGAAGGUGGCUCUCCUUACUGUCCCCUGACAGCUCUGUCUGGGUCCUUGCCCGAACAUGUGGGCCUGACCCUUGACCUGUAAGGAUCCAUUCUUCCCUCAAUAUAAAUUCCCAGCCCAGUACGUUCUCCUCACUCUCCCCCAAUCUCUGGCUUCUACACUGCAAACCUUCCCGGGGACAGGAGUCAAAAUGGGAACGAAGUCCAUAUACCACUGGGACACAGGAACCCUGAGCCCCUCUUCUGUGCCCUGUCCUGUCCUCUGGACUGCCAAGUGGCCUGGCCCCUGGCCCAGGCAGGAUGGUAACUGAGAAAUUUCAGAAAGAUCUUGCACAAUUGGUGGGUGGCCUCUGUACCUGGUGACCACAGCCAUUGAUCUACUCAGCCUGAGGGAGGGGCUGACCCCAGGACAGCAAGGAUCUAAGAUCCCCAAGAUCUCAGAGGCUGGAGCCAUGGCUGGGGUGUCUGGCCCUCCCUCAUCCUCUGCUUUUCUCUGCUUGUCCCCACAGCAGAGAAAAUAGGGACAUACUUCCACAUAGAUGCCACAAAGGUCUCAGUGCUCCUGGGACUCUGUACGGCACAGGACUACUGGUCAGGCUCCUGGGUCCCUAUACUCACAGGCCUGGCUGCUAUAGGUAGGGGUGGGCACACAUAAUGGCAGAUACAGGCC